GUUGCAUUUUUAAGGGGACAGAGAGAGAGGAGUAUACUCCUAGUAACUAAGUUUAUGUAUGUAUGUAUGUUGUAUAAUGAUCCUGAUAUCCAAUCUAUACUAUACUUAAAGCACCAGUUUCAACGGUCGUCUCGCGUCAUCUUUUUAUAAAUAACCCCUCACAGCUAUUUCAAAUUAGUCUAUUGCACGCCAGACACCCCGCGGGCCACAACUCUGGCUCAGACACGUCAUGUCGGCCUGCUGACUGCGUCAGGACAGCCUGUUAGCCCGUCGACCCAUUUGAUUAAACCAGCGUAAAAUGUUAAAAAUGGUGCAGGAGAUAGGUUCGAACACAUGUCAUGAUGGAAGAAAGACGAGAGACACUAGGUACAAUUGUUUAACCAGUAGAAUAUUAUGCUCAGAUGUUUUUAAUAUUGAAUAUAAAUUAUAUAUAUGUAUAUACAUUUUUUGUGAAAUAAAAAAUAUAUAAUCGUAUCGGGCCGGACCUGCACUACGGGCCGAGGCUACAUCCCAAGCACGUCACGACAUUCUUGGCUCUUGCAAACAUUAGAUCGUUUCUGAGACCACAUUGGCGCAAUGGACUCCAUGGUGUUUGAGGUUGCUGAAUUGGAUGGAGCAACAAUAAUUUGUCACACUAACAGUAAAAUGAAAGGUUAUUUGUUAGUUUUAAACGUUAGUAAUUGCUACGAAGUAGCAUAAUUUAUAUGGAGCUAAGAAGUCACAUGAACUCAAACUUAUAAAAAAGAUAUAUCAAAA
rnacentral:lncRNA from 1 species